AGGCCCACUGGGCGAGGUCGCUCUCCGGCGCCUGCGGCGUGCCGUCCGGCAGCCCCCUGUCGCGCAGUUCCUGCCGCAGGGUCUC
rnacentral:tRNA from 2 species